AUUUAGUGUAUUCCGACCUUUACAUAUAUCUUUUGUACUUCAAGGUUCAAGAAAAAACGCCUGAAUUGGCGAUUUGUGUACAUUUGGAGUGGACUAAGUUGAUACAUUUUUGUUCGUUGUUUUCUGAAUUGAGCGUGGUGGAGAUCAAGAAGGCGUCCGGGGCUCCGAGAGAGUGUGUCUACCGUGAUCUGCUACCUAUAGAUUGCGUCUUACAGUAUAAAUUAUAGAUGAUGCGGUUUCUGUUUGACUUCUGGAUUGGGUGCAUACUUAUAAACGUACGACAGGGAGGUCACGGCCUUCUAAUGGUUUCCGACGGGAAAGGAUCAUCUAUUGAAUGUUCAUCAAACUACGAAAUCACUUUUAAAUUUAUCAGCCCAGUCCAAGGUGCAUCAUUUGCGAUCGCAGAUUGUGAUGCAGUAAUUAAAAAAUGUCUUUUGCUUGUUAAAGGUCUUGAAAACACAUAUAAUAUUUCUUACACUGGACGCGGAGGAAUUCUGCAUAUCAAUCAUAUAGGUAACGACACGUAUGGAACAUACGAAUGUUGUGAAACGUACCACCCUAGCAUUUAUGUGACCGUGGACAUUAUUCCUCGUUAUAUUGAUGGCGGGGAUGAAAAUAUUACUCGUUGUGACCAUAAUUAUAUUUUAGUUUUAUUAAUGUUUAUAUAUAUUUGUUUGUGAAUUUAUUCUGUUAUAAAAGGAAAAAACAUUAUAUUCAUUAUAGAUAAUCAUCCUGUAUGUAAACUAUUAAGGGACAUUUUUAUAAUUUUGUACUCAAUGUAUUAUGUCUAUUUGUGUGUAUUGGCAAUACAUGUAUUCUGUUCAACCA